CUUUUGGGCACCUAGUAAAUCACCCCAGUGAGUGAAGCGAUCUGAGUGAGAAGAGCGACGAUGUUAAGAGCGACGCAUUUCCCUCCCAUUGCAUCUCCUACUCUCCUUGUCCUUAGGAAAUGUUUCAUUCCCAUCCUCUCCGUCUCUUCCUUCCCUUCUUAUCCUCUUCAUAACCUCUCCUCUUUUUCUGCUUUUCACUCUUUCUUCUCACCUUCCCGCCCUUCUCUUCCAUCUCUAUCUCUCACUCAAUUCUCUCCCAUGCUGGGUCAUCCCCAUCUCAGACUAUCAGCUUCAUUUAACUCCGAGAGUAGCUAUGGAGAUAACAGAGAAAUAUUGGUGCAGCACUUGCUUCUAAAAGAAGAUGACGAGAAGCUCUUGUUGGAACUACAACAGAGAAUUGCUGGAGGGGAGGAUUUAAGUGACCUUGCCGUUGAGUACUCAAUUUGUCCAUCCAAACAAGAGGGGGGAAUGCUUGGAUGGGUGAGAAAGGGACAAAUGGUACCAGAAUUCGAGGAGGCUGCUUUCUGUGCACCUUUAAACAAAGUUGUGAAAUGUAAAACUAAUUUUGGAUGGCACUUGUUACAAGUUCUAUCUGAGAGGGAAGAGUCAUUGCUUAAAGACAUUCAACCAGAGGAGUUUCAUGCAAAAAUGCAAGACCCCAGUUUCAUUGAAGAGGCUCAGUUGAUAGAUGUCCGGGAACCUGAAGAAGUGUCUCAAGCAUCUUUGCCAGGAUUCCAGGUUCUUCCUCUCCGCCAGUUUGGAAGUUGGGGACCAGAAAUAACUAGCAAAUUUGAUCCAACAAAAGAUACAUACGUCUUAGUGUUAUUAUUCCUUUCCUGUUCGUGGAAGAAUAGGCUUGAAUCUCCCAUGAUUAUCAAAAUUUCCCUUGAGAGAUUAAAAUUGAUAUCUAUUACAAUUCUUUAUCCUCCGCUUGAACAAUUUGUGGCCACUGAAGAAGCAAUCUUCUAGCCAUGAGCUUCUUGUCACCAUGGCAUGCGGUCGUUACAGGUUGCCAAGUGGUUACAGACUCAGGGAUUUAGGAAAAUAUUUAAUAUAUCAGGGGGAAUACAUGCGUAUGCAACCAAGGUGGAUCCAUCAGUUCCUACUUACUGAGAUCCUCACGUAUCCAUUGCUCCUAUUUUCAUGUUUUCUUCACGUGUGUGGUUUCAGGCUCCAUAUUUUUGGGUUUGCCCUCCGUGGUAUUAUAGAGUUUAACAUUUCACAAUAAUUAGCAAGUCCAAAACUUAUUAUUGCUUAAUUAUGGUGGUUGUAUUGAGUAUCUGGAAUUAAGUGUAUUUCGAAAAAGUUCAUUUAAAUUCAAUAAAUAUGUAAAUUUUAUUAAAA